rnacentral:rRNA from 1 species
UACGUAGGGUGCAAGCGUUGUCCGGAAUUAUUGGGCGUAAAGAGCUCGUAGGCGGUCUGUCGCGUCUGGUGUGAAAACUCAGGGCUUAACCCUGAGCUUGCAUCGGGUACGGGCAGACUAGAGUGCGGUAGGGGAGACUGGAAUUCCUGGUGUAGCGGUGAAAUGCGCAGAUAUCAGGAAGAACACCCGUGGCGAAGGCGGCUCUCUGGGACGGUACUGACGCUGAGACGCGAAAGCGUGGGGAGCGAACAGG